rnacentral:lncRNA from 1 species
AGUUAUAUACCUUACUAUAUCUAUGCCUUGGUCAUUACAAUAGGUUAAAGGAUUAACCAUGUUGUUCAUCAACUCAAGCUCAAAGAAGUACAAGGUAUUUGAGAUUUCUGUUGCCCCACCUACAUUCAGUGUUACUUCAGAAACACUACAAGUAUGUUUGCUGACUACAUGUAUAUAUUGUUGAAGCAACCACUGCUGCAGGACUGUAGGAUAGCAUAAGAAAAUAAAGUUGGAUGAAAGGUUUGAUACAGAAGCUUUUGAGUGAUGGUGGAUUUGGUAGAGGUGGAUAGUGUUUUUGAACCAUUGAUAUAUAGUUUACUGUAUUGGUUGUUUGUUUGUUUGUUUGUUGUUUUCUUUCCUGGCAUCCUACUGAAUUCCAUUGAUUAAAGUUUGUGGCAAAAGUGUGUUGUAUAAGAUAAAUCUAAUCCUAACAAUGUUGGAGAUCCCUUUUGUCAGGCAGGAAGCAUUGUUAUUUAUGUCGUUCAGGUAUAUUAUUCACAUCCAUGCUUUCGAUUCGUGAAAAAAGUAAGACGUGUUGGGAAUUGGAUCUUGAUAUUGCAGAUCCCUCUUUUAAUCAAGGAAAUAUUGAUAAUUUAAGUGUCCUUAAAUUAUUUUAACAAAAUGUUUAUUGCAUUUGGUUACUUUCUUGAAUUUAUUUAUUUUUUCUUAUAGAAAUACCAAGAUAUAUUGUUCUUCCACCCUUCAUACCCGUCAGGUUGCUUCAUGCUUCAUGUUGCGUUCGCGAACCAAUUUGAGCUACGAGAUGGCGCUUGCUUAACCUGUGCGAAAUGUAUUUUUUCCGAACAAGCAUGGCUCAAGGAGCACGGUUUAACGCCGAUUUGUGGUAAGUUGAUCUCCUGUUUAAAGCCACGUGAAAAGAUUUUUGAGUAUGUAGAAAUAAAUUUUCACCGACACUGCAGUGCAUCAAUGGCUGAAGGAAUGUUGGGUUGAAGAUUUGAUGGAUUAACUUUUGAAUGAUGGUGACAUGUGGGGCCAGAAGAAAUUGGGGGGAGAAAGGCAAUCCUAAACAAUAUAAGAGAUCUCUCUUAUCACCUGAUAAAUGUUGAUAAUUUUGGUGUAUUGUAGGAUAAUAUGAUGGAAUUGAAGGAGAAUGUGACACGAUACGUUGGUUUGGCGUCAGUAAUUUAACCAGUAUGGAAGUUACUUGUUCUUUGUUACCAAUUUACUCGUGGACUGAAAUCAGUAGCAGGCCAUGGAAUGCUGAUGAAUCAUCUGUAAGUGGAAAUUGUUAUGGAGGACAUGCUGUGGCCAUUGAGAAUACCACCUUGAAAAAAAACAGAUGAUGGUGUUUGUUGGCAUUGUUUUUGUGGGAGUGUUUUCGAAGAUAGCAUGGAGUCAGAUUGUGAAAAAAAUUACUUUGAAUGAGGCAAUAAGAUUUUUUUUUUCUAUAGGGGGUUGUUAAUCAUCUUUAUGAACAGUCUAAAGCAGCAUAUGUUUUAUUCUGCAUUGGCCUAUUCAAAACAUUUGAUGAAUUGAAAAUUGAUCCCACUCAUCAUCCAUUGGUAGCUAACCAGAAUGGAAAUUGCUUUUUCUAUGUUAUCAACUAGCAGUGGGUUUAGAUUUAUCAUGGCGUACAGUUACUUCGACAUCUCUUAUAAUUCGAUGAAACAUGAUCUGUUAUGACCAAAUUUGAACGCUGGCCUAGAAUAAAAUAAUAGUUUUCCGGUUACUUAUGCAAUCUCUGAAUAGAACGGAAGCAAGAAUAUCGAUUCAGAGAUGAACAUAGUAAUCACAAAGA